AGCAGUAGCCACGGUAAUACGUAGGUGGCAAGCGUUGUCCGGAAUUAUUGGGCGUAAAGGGCUCGCAGGCGGUUUCUUAAGUCUGAUGUGAAAGCCCCCGGCUCAACCGGGGAGGGUCAUUGGAAACUGGGAAACUUGAGUGCAGAAGAGGAGAGUGGAAUUCCACGUGUAGCGGUGAAAUGCGUAGAGAUGUGGAGGAACACCAGUGGCGAAGGCGACUCUCUGGUCUGUAACUGACGCUGAGAAGCGAAAGCGUGGGGAGCGAACAGGAUUAGAUACCCCUGUAGUCCCUGUCUCUUAUAC
rnacentral:rRNA from 1 species